GCCAGGCGUGGUGGCGGGCGCCUUUAAUCCCAGCUACUUGGGAGGCUGAGGCAGGAGAAUCGCUUGAACCCAGGAGGCAGAGAUUGCAGUGAGCCAAGAUCGUGCCACUGCACUCAAAAAAAAAAAAAAAAAAAAAAAGUAGGUAUUACUAUAAUAUCUUUUUUUUUUUUUUUUGAGAUGGAAUCUCGCAGUCACCCAGGCUGGAGUGCAGUGGGGCGAUCUCAGCUCACUGCAACCUCUGCCUCCCGGGUUCAUGUGAUUCUCCUUGCCUCAG
rnacentral:SRP_RNA from 2 species